UACGAAGGGUGCAAGCGUUACUCGGAAUUACUGGGCGUAAAGCGUGCGUAGGCGGUUUGUUAAGUCUGAUGUGAAAGCCCCGGGCUCAACCUGGGAAUUGCAUUCGAGACUGAAUAGCUAGGGUACGGUAGAGGGAAGUGGAAUUUCCGGUGUAGCGGUGAAAUGCGUAGAUAUCGGAAGGAACAUCAGUGGCGAAAGCGGCUUCCUGGACCAGCACCGACGUUCAGGCACGAAAGCGUGGGGAGCAAACAGG
rnacentral:rRNA from 1 species